CUGACCCUGUAAAUAGGUUGUACGAGGAAAAGCAGAGUUAUACGCUGAAAGAAAGAACAACCUUUCCCAGCAUAUAUAGUAAAAUGAAACAUCCAUUCUUCCAUUCAUCUUUUCUUAGCAAUAAUUUACCGUAACUCAUGGCUUGCAUUUACCUAUCAAAAGCGUAAAUGGAUUAAGCCCACAAAUACUUCCCAGAACUCCAAACUAAAUAGAAGGCUCAGGAAACAUCGGGAGGCAGCCCCAACUUCCACCAACACCGAUCAGUUCAGGAAUUUUCUGUCAAACAGCGUACAACUCGCUCAGCAAUAAAUCCACUUGCCCUUAUUACCAAUAUCCUACCCUGUUUUACUUCCCAGGAAAACAACGACAACAACAACGAUACAUCCCCAACCCGCAGAGCAAGGACAUGCACAAUGCUGGUUUUUAUCUCUCUGUUAAAACAAAUAAGAAUAAAAAUCAGAACCGAAGAAAAUGCUUGCAGACUUCUCUGUCAGUUCUAUAGCCAUUUACAGACCACCACCACCAAGGGCACCUCGGUGAGAAGGGUGAAACAUCCCCGCCUUGUAAUUGUACCACAGUUGUGAAAAUAAAAUUCAUUUCCAAACAUUUCCCUAAGAUGCUGAAAAGCCUGGACCGCCAAAGCAAAAUGCACCAAGACCCCAGCAUUUCAUCUAGCUGUCUAAAAUAUUAAACUUUUCAUAUAUGCGGGAUUGGAAUGCGUUCUUCUCCAAGUGCACUUCAGAGCGCUCGCCCCACAUCAGCAACGGUAGUUCCGGCAUACUGCAAUUUCCCGAUCCCCACGGGAAUGCCUGCAAGGAUUCCAUCUGAAGGUUUAGGCGACAUCCAAAGUUAGUGGGCGCUUCAGCAGCUGAUGUAGAAAUGAUGCUCAGCUCCCCGGCCAUCUUCUCCAGACCGUGCCUCUAAUAAGAACAGUACACUUGCAUGCGUUCCUGAACUACAAUGGGACAGGCCAGUGAUUAAAGUAGUGAAGCAUAGCGCAGUAUCUCUCUGAGCGGAGACGCACCCAGCGGAGGCCCCUGGAAACCGUUAAGGCCGGGGACGUUCUUCGGAGGGAGACGCUCUAUCGCGCCGGUCGCGUCGGAUGCAAAGCGACCCGUUUGAAUUGGCACAAUUACUUAACUUAUCGAUGAAUCCCACAGUGCGGCGAGAAGGAAAAGCGCGUAACAAACUGUACUUCAAAGUGUAAUUUAAGUCCCUAAUUCAGAUCCGGAGUCCGCACGUCAAACUGUCAGAG
ensembl:lncRNA